rnacentral:rRNA from 1 species
GAUGAACGCUAGCGGCAGGCUUAACACAUGCAAGUCGAGGGGCAGCACGUCUUCGGAUGGUGGCGACCGGCGCACGGGUGAGUAACGCGUAUGCAAUCUACCUUUUACAGGGGCAUAGCCCGGGGAAACCCGGAUUAAUAUCCUAUAGUACCAUUAUAUAGCAUUAUAUUAUGGUUAAAGUUUCGGCGGUAAAAGAUGAGCAUGCGUCCUAUUAGCUUGAUGGUAAGGUAACGGCUUACCAUGGCUAUGAUAGGUAGGGGUCCUGAGAGGGAGACCCCCCACACUGGUACUGAGACACGGACCAGACUCCUACGGGAGGCAGCAGUGAGGAAUAUUGGACAAUGGGCGCAAGCCUGAUCCAGCCAUGCCGCGUGCAGGAAGACGGCCCUAUGGGUUGUAAACUGCUUUUAUACGGGGAAGAAACACCCCUUCGUGAAGGGACUUGACGGUACCGUAUGAAUAAGGAUCGGCUAACUCCGUGCCAGCAGCCGCGGUAAUACGGAGGAUCC